rnacentral:rRNA from 1 species
UACGUAGGGUGCGAGCGUUGUCCGGAUUUAUUGGGCGUAAAGGGCUCGUAGGCGGCCUGUCGCGUCGGGCGUGAAAGCCCACUGCUUAACGGUGGGUCUGCUUCCGGUACGGGCGGGCUGGAGUAUGGCAGGGGAGACUGGAAUUCCUGGUGUAGCGGUGGAAUGCGCAGAUAUCAGGAAGAACACCCGUGGCGAAGGCGGCUCUCUGGAACGCAACUGACGCUGAGACGCGAAAGCGUGGGGAGCAAACAGG